rnacentral:misc_RNA from 1 species
AAUUCUCAACCUUUCUGUCUUUUUGAACACAGUUAGGCUUGGAUGUUGGAAGUUGCCGGCUUCUUGUGAAUUCGGCUCUUCUCAAAUUCAUUAGCAGAACCUGUGCUGGUCAUCUUUGGUAUGAUAAUUAUCUAUAUCACAGAGGAUGAGUUUCCCUCAAUGGGAGCGUUCCGCUUCAAAUGGUCUUUUGAGACAUUUUUGACU